UGAACAGAUCUUUUUGAGCCAAUCCGAAGGCUGUAUCCUUCUUGGCAGGGAGGCCCAAGGAUACUCUCUGCAGCUGUGCACAGCCCUUCCCAAAUUGCCUGGAGCACUGUUGGGGAUGGGGCAGGGGACUGGACUCAGCCACUUAUUCCCCUAACCCGGUCUGAGGACAUUCCUGAGGCUCUGCAUCUGCAGACAGGGAAAAACAGGAAAUACUUGGCUCUACCCAUCUCUUCCCCCACAAGCUGCUUCUCCCACCCUUCCCAGACUGCCCAGGCUCCCUGAAGGACCUGCAGUGACACACUGGAGACCCAGAAGCCCAUCUACCAGCCAUGAGUGGCAUGGCUGCUGUGUGCCACAGGAUGUGGAGAAGUGGGAAGGACCCUGGAAGCAGACAGCUGCUCUCCGAAUAGGGUAGAGAAGGGGAAUGCACAGGAGGCCAACUCUGAAGUCUCUUUCUUUUUCAGGCAUUGGUCUUCUGGGGGAUGGCUCAGCCCUUCACUGAACAUUUCAACUCGGAUCCUAGAGGUGCCAUUGUUUCUGAGGCAGUACGGCUAGCAGCUAAGUGAAGAGCCUGCCUAGAAGGAGAAGAAGGGCCUUUCUGUCUAUACUGCAGGCAGGCAGCGGAGCUUCAACAAAUUCAGACUUAACCUGGAUGACCUGACAUCCUCAUGUUUACAUUUCCAUGUGCGAUGGGACUCUGCAUGGUCAGCGCUGUCCGGUCAGAGAUGUGGUUUCUGAAGUUGUCACAUGUUGUUUUCUCCCAAAGGUCUGGAGUCAAGGUGUUGAAUCCAUGUUGAACCUCAAGAGUAAGGGGAAAUGAAACCAUCUCUACAGGCCACUGCUGCAGCCCAGAGUCCUCGCUGCAGUAGCCCGAAGUUUGAUCCCAAGGAUGCACAUGGGGCUCACAACACUGUGCAACGUCAGUCCCAGAGGAGCCAGCGAUGUCUUCUACACUAUCCUGGGACCAAUGGUGUACUCUUCGCUAAAAUCAUGCACACAGGCAAAAUGGCUAUUGAAGGAAACUUCAUGAUUUUGAAGCGUGAGGAAGUGUUACUAAUAAUGGAGAGUGUAGUUUAUGCCUAGGAAGCUUGAAACACAGAGUACUGGAGUGAGUAUGGUGGUAUUUUGAAGAGCAGCUAGAGGAGGAUGUAGGGAAGGGGAAGGGCCGCCAUGGGCAGCUUGGGAUGCUAUGGGAACCUAAGAAGCCUGGAGGAGACUGGAGGGAAGUUGCUUAUGAAGGUGGGACAGAGCAUGAAGUGGAGGUUUGGGUUUGGGCAAAGAAAUCUUAUGAGGAAGGCAAGAUGCAAAGUGUGAGCAGGAGGGCAGGGGAAUCGAGGUAAGGGUAGCAAGCUCCAAGGGGUCCCUAGGGUCAGGGGAAGUAAGUGGACUGGAGCGGAUAUCCAGAAAUUGCAGGCUGGGGAUGAGGAGGGAAUGUUCCUGGGGAUUGUAUGAAGCUAUGGGAAGGCAGAAGGAUGGUGAGAAAAGAGAAGAAUCUGAAAAGAGAGAAACAGAAGCCUGGGGAAUAUGUUAGUAGGUGGAUGGGGAGGGGGACAGAAGAAACAUGAAUUGCAAGAAACCAAGGCAGGGGGGGAAUAUACGAGGGCAGGACAUGACCCACAUGAGUUAUAGGAUUGGGAGGUUGCAAGUGAUGACGAGAUUUUGGGAGAUUGGAGAUGUUCAGUGUCAGGGUGGGAGGUUUGAUCAAGGGUAGGAAUCUAGGGCAGUUAAGAAAGCUGUGAGGGAGCCAGGCGUGGUGGCGCACGCCUUUAAUCCCAGCACUCGGGAGGCAGAGGCAGGCGGAUUUCUGAGUUCGAGGCCAGCCUAGUCUACAAAGUGAGUUCCAGGACAGCCAGGGCUAUACAGAGAAACCCUGUCUCGAAAAAUGAGAGAAAGGAAGAAAGAGAGAGAGAGAGAGAGAGAGAGAGAGAGAGAGAGAGAGAGAGAGAGAGAGAAAGGAGGAAAUCAAGCAAGCAAGCUGUGAGGAGGGAAAGAGGUUCAUGAGAAGAGGAAGAAGCAGUCCCAGGGUGUCCCAGGGUUCUGGAUAUCAGCCUGAGAAUCCAAAUUCAGCUUGGGAGGCAGAGGGCAGGAAGGUGGCUACAGUAGCCUGGGUGAAGACCAAUGUCUGGGUUGAAAUGUCAGAGGUUCAGUAGUACAAGUGCAAAUGGCUGGGGUCGAAGGUUAAGGUCUCAGGACUUGUUAGCCAGAGGCUCAGAGGAGUCAGAAGUGUAAGAAUGAGCUCUGUGUAGAGAGACUUAGAGGAGGGCCGGUGUCUGGGGAGGAUGGCAAGACUCUACUCAGGGGGGACAAGGAGGUCCUCUCAGGGUAUGUCUGAGAGGACAGAGGAAGUCAGGGUUUAGAGAGAGAUCGGAGCACUAGGUGGAUAACAGUAUGGCUUGUUGGGAGUGUAGAUUACCAGACUGGAGAGGAAGAGGGUAGGGGCUGUAGAGGCUGUGAAGUUGUGCAGUGACUGUGGGAGUGUAGAACCCUGAGGGAAAGGCAGACUGUCUGAGGGAGCAAUGCUGCUGAGAGCACAGCAGUCACUCCUAGGACAGAAGACUGGGGAGGAAGGCUGGAGACUGAGACACUGGAAGGCUUGGAGGGAAGGAAGGCAAGGGUCAGGGAAGAGACGAGGAGGCUAAUGGAAAAGUAGAUGGCUAAGGGAGAACAGAAUGCUGGAGAGGAGGGCAGGGCAGAGGGCAGCUGCUUACAGGGGUGCAGAGAGAAUACUGAAUACCAGGGGAGUAUUUACAUGUUUACAUGUAGUAUUUACAUGUUUACAUGGAGGUUAGGAGUUACAUGUAGUAUUUACAUGUAGUAUUUACAUGGAGGUUAGGAGUUACAUGUAGUAUUUACAUGUUUACAUGGAGGUUAGGAGUCUUAGGGAGAUAGAGAAUCGAAGGUGGUAGGUUGGAUUGCCUAUAAUCUAGAAACAGCCCAGGAAGUUUUCCAGCAGGGUGGGCUAGAAAGGAAGGAUAGGAAUGAGGGCUGUAGGGGAGAGUCCUAGUCUUAGGGGAGAGAGAGAUGAUCAGGAAGCCAGGGGAAAGGCCAGUGGGAGGGGGUGGCUUGGAUGGAUGGUAGCACAGCAGGAAAGACGGAGAAGCUAGAAAGGAGGACAGGAGGUUGUGGAAGUGAGCAUGAGCCACUGCAGGAGCAAAGGAUGGUGAGGAUACAGACAGGGUGAUAUACAACAUGGUAGAAGGUCUGGCAUUUGGCAGGAGGCUGAUGACGAGGUUGGGGAACACAAGAGGUUAAAAGAGCCAAGACUAGCCGGGCAGUGGUGGCCAAUGCCUUUAAUUCCAGCACUUGGGAGGUAGAGGCCAGUGGAUUUCUGAGUUAGAGGCUAGCCUG
rnacentral:lncRNA from 1 species